rnacentral:rRNA from 1 species
GACGAACGCUGGCGGCGUGCUUAACACAUGCAAGUCGAACGGAAAGGCCCUGCUUUUGUGCGGUGCUCGAGUGGCGAACGGGUGAGUAACACGUGAGUAACCUGUCCUUGACUUUGGGAUAUCUUCAGGAAACUGGGGCUAAUACCGCAUAGGAGCUCCUGCUCCAUGGUGGGGGUUGGAAAGUUUCGGCGGUUGGGGAUGUACUCGCGGCUUAUCAGCUUGUUGGUGGGGUAGUGGCUUACCAAGGCUUUGACGGGUAGCCGGCCUGAGAGGGUGACCGGCCACAUUAGGACUGAGAUACGGCGCAGACUCCUACGGGAGGCAGCAGUGGGGAAGAUUGCACAGUAGGCGGAAGCCUGAUGCAGCAACGCCGCGUGCGGGAUGACGGCCUUCGGGUUGUAAACCGCUUUCGCCUGUGACGAAGCGUGAGUGACGGUAAUGGGUAAAGAAGCACCGGCUAACUACGUG